rnacentral:tRNA from 1 species
GGGGAGAUACCAAAGCGGCCAACUGGGGCAGACUGUAAAUCUGUUGUCGUAAGACUUCGCAGGUUCGAAUCCUGCUCUCCCCACUA